UACGAAGGGGGCUAGCGUUGCUCGGAAUCACUGGGCGUAAAGGGCGCGUAGGUGGCGGCUUAAGCGUGCGGUGAAAGCUCGGGGCUCAACCCCGAGUCGGCCGUGCGAACUGAGUCGCUUGAGCACUGUAGAGGCAGGCGGAAUUCCGGGUGUAGCGGUGGAAUGCGUAGAGAUCCGGAAGAACACCGGUGGCGAAGGCGGCCCGCUGGGCUGUUGCUGACGCUGAGGCGCGACAGCGUGGGGAGCAAACAGG
rnacentral:rRNA from 1 species